CCAGAUCAAAGAUUUAUCAAGCAUUUUACUCAGAGGUCUUCUCCCCUUGGCAACAGCAAGAUAACUCAGGGCUUUCUUUAAAAGUGAUCCAGGAGGAUGGAUUAUCUGUGGAACAAAAGAAAUUGUACUCCAAUGCACAGAAGCUCUUCAGUGCCCUGAGCCAUCCUGCACAGGACUGGAGCUCCCCAAAACUGCUCUCAGCUAAACUCCCUGAGUUGGACCGGUUUCUCCAGCAUUUUGCCCUUGGCAGCAUUGGUCAGGAGCCUGUGAUGCGAGCCCAUCUUCUUAGCCUGCUGCAGCAAGCUGAGACCAGCCCCACUCACAGAUUAGAGAGUGACAAGGUCGUCAUCAGCAUUGUAACUGGUCUCCCAGGCUGUCAUGCUAGCAAGCUCUGUGCUUUCCUGGUCACUCUACAUAA
rnacentral:lncRNA from 1 species